rnacentral:rRNA from 1 species
CCUACGGGGGGCUGCAGUGGGGAAUAUUGGACAAUGGGCGAAAGCCUGAUCCAGCCAUGCCGCGUGUGUGAAGAAGGUCUUCGGAUUGUAAAGCACUUUAAGUUGGGAGGAAGGGCAGUAAGCUAAUACCUUGCUGUUUUGACGUUACCGACAGAAUAAGCACCGGCUAACUCUGUGCCAGCAGCCGCGGUAAUACAGAGGGUGCAAGCGUUAAUCGGAAUUACUGGGCGUAAAGCGCGCGUAGGUGGUUCGUUAAGUUGGAUGUGAAAUCCCCGGGCUCAACCUGGGAACUGCAUCCAAAACUGGCGAGCUAGAGUAUGGUAGAGGGUGGUGGAAUUUCCUGUGUAGCGGUGAAAUGCGUAGAUAUAGGAAGGAACACCAGUGGCGAAGGCGACCACCUGGACUGAUACU